rnacentral:rRNA from 1 species
GAUGAACGCUAGCGAUAGGCUUAACACAUGCAAGUCGAGGGGCAUCACAUGAGUAGCAAUACGAUAGUGGCGACCGGCGCACGGGUGAGUAACACGUAUGCAACCUACCCAUAACUGGGGGAUAACCCGUCGAAAGGCGGACUAAUACCGCAUAACACUGUUUUUUUGCAUGAGAAGACAGUUAAAGAAAUUCGGUUAUGGAUGGGCAUGCGUUCCAUUAGGUAGUUGGUAAGGUAACGGCUUACCAAGCCUACGAUGGAUAGGGGUUCUGAGAGGAAGGUCCCCCACACUGGUACUGAGACACGGACCAGACUCCUACGGGAGGCAGCAGUGAGGAAUAUUGGUCAAUGGGCGGGAGCCUGAACCAGCCAAAUCGCGUGAAGGAUGAAGGUAUUAUGUAUUGUAAACUUCUUUUGUCAGGGAAUAAAGUGCAUCACGUGUGGUGUUUUGUAUGUACCUGAAGAAUAAGGAUCGGCUAACUCCGUGCCAGCAGCCGCAGUAAAAC